ensembl:snRNA U5 U5 spliceosomal RNA
AUACUCUGGUUUCUCUUCAGAUCGUAUAAAUCUUUUGCCUUUUACUAAAGAUUUCCAUGGAGAUGAACAGCUCUGAAUCUUAGGAUACCAUCUCAUGCCAGUUAGAAUGGCGA